AGAGAUUUCAGUGGGGAUUGGCUGGAGUUUUUAGCAAGAUGCGAAUGGGUGAGUAACACGUGCUUAAUCUACCUUUUAGAUUGGAAUACCUAAUGGAAACAUUGGUUAAUGCCGGAUACGCAUGAAGUCGCAUGACUUCGUUGUGAAAGGAGCGUUUGCUCCGCUAAGAGAUGAGGGUGCGGAACAUUAGCUAGUUGGUGAGGUAAUGGCCCACCAAGGCUAUGAUGUUUAGCCGGGUCGAGAGACUGAACGGCCACAUUGGGACUGAGAUACGGCCCAAACUCCUACGGGAGGCAGCAGUAGGGAAUAUUCCACAAUGAGCGAAAGCUUGAUGGAGCGACACAGCGUGCACGAUGAAGGCCCUCGGGUUGUAAAGUGCUGUUGCAAGGGAAGGACAGUUAGUUGAGGAAAUGCUUCUAAUCUGACGGUACCUUGUUAGAAAGCGAUGGCUAACUAUGUGCCAGCAGCCGCGGUAAUACAUAGGUCGCAAGCGUUAUCCGGAAUUAUUGGGCGUAAAGCGUUCGUAGGCUGUUUAUUAAGUCUGGAGUCAAAUCCCAGGGCUCAACCCUGGCUCGCUUUGGAUACUGGUAAACUAGAGUUAGAUAGAGGUAAGCGGAAUUCCGUGUGGAGCGGUGAAAUGCGUAGAUAUAUGGAAGAACACCAAAGGCGAAGGCAGCUUACUGGGUCUAUACUGACGCUGAGGGACGAAAGCGUGGGGAGCAAACAGGAUUAGAUACCCUGGUAGUCCACGCUGUAAACGAUGAUCAUUAGUCGGUGGAAAACUACUGACGCAGCUAACGCAUUAAAUGAUCCGCCUGAGUAGUAUGCUCGCAAGAGUGAAACUUAAAGGAAUUGACGGGGACCCGCACAAGCGGUGGAGCAUGUGGUUUAAUUUGAAGAUACGCGGAGAACCUUACCCACUCUUGACAUCCCCUGCAAAGUUAUAGAGGUAUAGUAGAGGUUAACAGGGUGACAGAUGGUGCAUGGUUGUCGUCAGCUCGUGUCGUGAGAUGUUUGGUCAAGUCCUGCAACGAGCGCAACCCCUAUCUUUAGUUACUAACGAGUCAUGUCGAGGACUCUAGAGAUACUGCCUGGGUAACCGGGAGGAGGUGGGGGU
rnacentral:rRNA from 1 species